rnacentral:rRNA from 1 species
UCAAGCGUUGUUCGGAUUCAUUGGGCGUAAAGGGUGCGUAGGUGGCGCCGUAAGUCAGGUGUGAAAUUUCGGAGCUUAACUCCGAAACUGCAUUUGAUACUGCGGUGCUUGAGGACUGGAGAGGAGACUGGAAUUUACGGUGUAGCAGUGAAAUGCGUAGAGAUCGUAAGGAAGACCAGUGGCGAAGGCGGGUCUCUGGACAGUUCCUGACACUGAGGCACGAAGGCCAGGGGAGCAAGCGGG